GGAAUAUUGGACAAUGGGCGGAAGCCUGAUCCAGCCAUGCCGCGUGCAGGAAGACUGCCCUAUGGGUUGUAAACUGCUUUUGUACGGGAAGAACCACCCCCUCGUGAGGGGGCUUGACGGUACCGUAAGAAUAAGGAUCGGCUAACACCGUUCCCGCAGCCGCGGUAAUACGGAGGAUCCAAGCGUUAUCCGGAAUCAUUGGGUUUAAAGGGUCCGUAGGUGGACUGUUAAGUCAGGGGUGAAAGUCUGCAGCUCAACUGUAGAAUUGCCCUUGAUACUGGUCGUCUUGAAUCAUUGUGAAGUGGUUAGAAUAUGUAGUGUAGCGGUGAAAUGCAUAGAUAUUACAUAGAAUACCGAUUGCGAAGGCAGAUCACUAACAAUGCAUUGACACUGAUGGACGAAAGCGUGGGUAGCGAAC
rnacentral:rRNA from 1 species